UACGUAGGGGCAAGCGUUGUCCGGAAUUAUUGGGCGUAAAGGGCGCGCAGGCGGCUACGCACGUCCGUUGUGAAAUCGCUCGGCUCAACUGGGCGGGGUCAGCGGAUACGGCGUAGCUGGAGCAAGCUAGGGGGCAAUGGAAUUCCCGGUGUAGUGGUGGAAUGCGUAGAUAUCAGGAGGAACACCGGUGGCGAAAGCGGCUUCCUGGCCCGAACAUUGACGCUCAUGUACGAAAGCGUGGGGAGCAAACAGG
rnacentral:rRNA from 1 species